CCGUGCUAGAUGGGGAGAUAGCGGUGCCCUGUACCCGCAAUCCGCUACAGCGGGAUUGAACUCCCGCCCCAGGCCUGUCUUCUUUGGGGCCUGCCCAGCGCAAGCGGCGUUGAUGGCCGGGUCCCGCGCAACGAGGCUUUGUGAACCCCGUCAGGACCGGAAGGUAGCAGCGGUUAGCAAAUCACCUCGUGUGCCGCGGGGUCGCCUGGUCGGAGUCGGCUACGCUGGUAACGCCUGGAGAAGCAUGUCGAAGGCGGGUGCACGG
rnacentral:SRP_RNA from 1 species